AUCGCAUCCUGGUGGUCCUGCAAUAUCGGAGUUUGAUUGGAGCACAGGGGAGACACCUAGAAGAUCAGCAAGAAUCAGUGAGAAGGUCAAGGCAACUCCACCUAAAGAGGAGCCUCCAAAGAAACGGAGCCGGAAAUCUUCUGUUUCUAAGAGAGAGAGUAAGGAGGAAGCCAAUGCAAGUGUCACAGGUCCUGAAGAAGUUGAAAUGAAAGAUGCAGAGGCAAAUGAGAAUAACAUUCCUGUUGUAGAGGAUAAAGACGGUUCUGAUAAUCCCAAAGGCGAACCCAAGGAAAUAGAAAAAGUGGGUGCUGAUCCAGACAUAAGCGGUAAAGAUAAGACGGGUAAUGAUGCUGGUGAAAGUAAAAAUGGUCAUACAGAAUCCCUGGAAGCCACAGAGAACAUUCCCCAGGUGAAGGAAGGUGAAAAGCAAGACCACGAGGGAGGUUCAGAUGUAGUUGUUAACUCGGAAUUUGUCAGUAUGGGUGAAACAAACAAGCACGGUAGUGAAACCAACGGUCAAGAUGCGAUUCAAGAGAAAACUGAGGGUUUGGAAGAAGCUGAAAAGCAAGAAAAUGAAAUAGCAGAAACUGUCACACCUUCUGAACAUAUUACUGCUAUUGCUAGUGAGGUUAACCAAUCCGAAAAGGAAAUGGUGCAAACUGAGACCAAGCAAGAAAACGACUCUCAAAGCAACAAAGAAAACAAAAAUGACCAUGACAAUGUUGGCAUUGAACAAUCGAAUGGAGUCGUGGAGGGAGAGAAACAGAAUGAUCAGAAUGAAGCCACAGGUGUAUCAGAUAAUGAGGUUAAGGGCAAUCAAGAUAUUUCAACAAAUGCUGCAAAAUGUAAUGUUCAGGACGAGGAUAGAAGCAUAGAACACGAUAGCUUGGUGAAAGAAAACGGUAAGCUUUAA
rnacentral:lncRNA from 1 species